rnacentral:ncRNA from 22 species
UAGUUAUCAAGAAAGGUGGAGGGAUUAGACCCUGUGAAGCCUUAGCAACCCUUUGUAUUGUUCAAAGAAGGUGCUACAUUCUAUCUCAUUUGAGAAUAGAUAACCG